UACGUAGGAGGCGAGCGUUGUCCGGAAUUACUGGGCGUAAAGCGCGCGUAGGCGGCGCGAUACGAGCGGUGUGAAAGCCCCCGGCUCAACUGGGGAGGGUCACCGCUAACGGUCGUGCUGUGAGUGCAGGAGAGGGAUGUGGAACUCCGGGAGUAGCGGUGAAAUGCGUAGAGAUCCGGAAGAACACCGGUGGCGAAGGCGGCCCGCUGGGCUGUUGCUGACGCUGAGGCGCGACAGCGUGGGGAGCAAACAGG
rnacentral:rRNA from 1 species